GGGUUGUGAGGUUAAGCGACUAAGCGUACACGGUGGAUGCCCUGGCAGUCAGAGGCGAUGAAGGGCGUGCUAAUCUGCGAUAAGCGCCGGUAAGGUGAUAUGAACCGUUAUAACCGGCGAUACCCGAAUGGGGAAACCCAGUGUGAUUCGUCACACUAUCAUUAACUGAAUCCAUAGGUUAAUGAGGCGAACCGGGGGAACUGAAACAUCUAAGUACCCCGAGGAAAAGAAAUCAACCGAGAUUCCCCCAGUAGCGGCGAGCGAACGGGGAGGAGCCCAGAGCCUGAAUCAGCAUGUGUGUUAGUGGAAGCGUCUGGAAAGGCGCGCGAUACAGGGUGACAGCCCCGUACACAAAAGCGCAUGUGCUGUGAGCUCGAUGAGUAGGGCGGGACACGUGGUAUCCUGUCUGAAUAUGGGGGGACCAUCCUCCAAGGCUAAAUACUCCUGACUGACCGAUAGUGAACCAGUACCGUGAGGGAAAGGCGAAAAGAACCCCGGCGAGGGGAGUGAAAAAGAACCUGAAACCGUGUACGUACAAGCAGUGGGAGCACAGGUUUACCUGUGUGACUGCGUACCUUUUGUAUAAUGGGUCAGCGACUUAUAUUCUGUAGCAAGGUUAACCGUAUAGGGGAGCCGGAGGGAAACCGAGUCUUAACCGGGCGUUAAGUUGCAGGGUAUAGACCCGAAACCCGGUGAUCUAGCCAUGGGCAGGUUGAAGGUUGGGUAACACUAACUGGAGGACCGAACCGACUAAUGUUGAAAAAUUAGCGGAUGACCUGUGGCUGGGGGUGAAAGGCCAAUCAAACCGGGAGAUAGCUGGUUCUCCCCGAAAGCUAUUUAGGUAGCGCCUCGUGAAUUCAUCUCCGGGGGUAGAGCACUGUUUCGGCUAGGGGGCCAUCCCGGCUUACCAACCCGAUGCAAACUGCGAAUACCGGAGAAUGUUAUCACGGGAGACACACGGCGGGUGCUAACGUCCGUCGUGAAGAGGGAAACAACCCAGACCGCCAGCUAAGGUCCCAAAGUCAUGGUUAAGUGGGAAACGAUGUGGGAAGGCCCAGACAGCCAGGAUGUUGGCUUAGAAGCAGCCAUCAUUUAAAGAAAGCGUAAUAGCUCACUGGUCGAGUCGGCCUGCGCGGAAGAUGUAACGGGGCUAAACCAUGCACCGAAGCUGCGGCA
rnacentral:rRNA from 1 species